AGUUUCUGGGAGCUGCGAACGCGCCGCCCCGGGGCUCGGCGGCCGGAAACGCUGGCUUCGGAGCCUUAGGCGCCGCGGCCUUUCCUUGUUUUCCGCCCAGUCCACGCCGCCAUGGCCAAGUGGGGCCAGGGGAACCCCCACUGGAUCGUGGAGGAGCGGGAGGACGGGACCAACGUGAACAACUGGCGCUGGCGCGGCUGGCGGCGGCCUCCUUCCGGGAUCUGGGGAGGGCCGGGCCGCGGGAGCCGGGGCUGCCCUGGGAGCGGGAUGCCACCAGCUUGUCCAAAGGGAAGUUCCAGGAGCUCCUGGUGGGCAUCGUUGUGGAGAAUGACGCUGGCCGCGGCGAGAUCAACGAGUUGAAGCAGGUGGAAGGGGAGGCUUCGUGCAGCAGCCGCAAAGGAAAGCUGAUUUUCUUCUAUGAGUGGAACAUCAAACUGGGCUGGAAAGGCAUCG
ensembl:lncRNA AHSA2P activator of HSP90 ATPase homolog 2, pseudogene